UUCCCAACACAUGGUGUUGUCUGGAGGUGGCCAUGAACUUGGUGCCCAUGCUGGCAAGGAGAAGACAGCAGCGGGAACUGCCUUAUUGAGUGACCCAGUUUCUAAUGGCCGGCAUUUGCAUCUCAAAGCUUGCCAGUCCGGCCCUUCGAGCUGCCUUUUCUUUUAGAAAAGAGAUGGUUCCGGUGUUUUUUAUUACAGGGAAACUUACACCGAGAACCUUUACCUUUACUAUCUGCCUAAAAAUUAGUUCUGAAUAACUCCUGUAUCACAGGGUCUUGGCCUCUGGAGCCAGCAGGGCUGAGGUUCCAUGGAGCUGGGAGUGAGGCCUAGCCUGGGACCCCCGCCUGGGCUCUAUGCCUGGCCCCCGCUCACUUUUCUGGAGCCCUUCGCUGGGGCAUUGGGAGUCACAGUCAGCAAUCCUUUAAAUUCCCAUUUUCCCGCGUGUGUCUCUCCUUGGCGGUGGACCCUCACCGGGCGGGAGAAACAAUCCCACAUUGGAACCUGGCCCUUUGCCUCCUUGCAUGAAAUAUGAACAUUGCUCCGGAAUCCACAGUGAUCAAAGAUGAAGAAAUGGCGCAGACUACCUCCAGCCUGGAAUUGAAUAAAUGAGAUUUUUCUUCAACCUCCAGUGACAGUGCAAACUCAUGAGCAAAUUGCCCGCAGGGACACAACAGCUGCCACGUGGAUUCCGCCCGAAGAGGCGUCCACUGCCGGAAGGAAAGAGAAUGGUCACGUCUGUUCCUAAUGAAAACACACGUAAGGACCAGGAAACAGCUUCUGAUUGAAUUCGGAUACUUUAAUCAAUAAUCAUCCCCACCAGGAAGCACGAUCGUCCGCUGCGGAGGCAUGGAAAGGAGGCGUCACCGUCCUUCCCCAUCAGGGCCCCCCGGCUUCUGCAUCAGCCAGGGGCCCAGAGGCCAGGCCAGAACUGAGCUGCCGCCAUCCUGCCCCGUCAGGGCCCCCGGCUCGGCUCCUAUACCAGCCAGGGCCCAGAGGCCAGGCCAGAACCUCAGGUCCCAGGUAGGGUUCAUCUAGAAGGAAAGGCAAGCAGCCCAUGGACGACGUCAACCACAUUUCACAGGAAUGGAAAAACAGUUUGACCUGGAGAUGAGCUACCAAGACUCGGACCCUCCUGGAAGCAAACUCCUGAAAAACAUUGCUCCAAAACAGACAGAAAUGUAAGGAAGGGGGAGAAGAUGCAGAACGCUUUGGGCCGUGAGGCUGACUUCUUUCAAGUCACCAGCGUGCCCUGGACCUCGGCAUGGCGCUGAGUGGCAUCUGGCAGGGCUGUAUUUGUUGUUGUUGUUGUUAAAUAUAAUAUCCAUUAGCACAGGGAUAUGACAACUGGACACUUUAUCCACCCUGAAAAGAAAAGCAGCAAAACCCCAUAUUUAUGACGCUUGUUUCUAUAAAUAUUUUAUUGAUUUUAUUUCGUAAUAAAGAUAGUGAAUAUUGGCAAAAAAGUUGUAAUAUAUUAAAUGCUAUGA